AGAGUUUGAUCAUGGCUCAGAUUGAACGCUGGCGGCAGGCUUAACACAUGCAAGUCGAGCGGAGAUGAGGUGCUUGCACCUUAUCUUAGCGGCGGACGGGUGAGUAAUGCUUAGGAAUCUGCCUAUUAGUGGGGGACAACAUUCCGAAAGGAAUGCUAAUACCGCAUACGUCCUACGGGAGAAAGCAGGGGAUCUUCGGACCUUGCGCUAAUAGAUGAGCCUAAGUCGGAUUAGCUAGUUGGUGGGGUAAAGGCCUACCAAGGCGACGAUCUGUAGCGGGUCUGAGAGGAUGAUCCGCCACACUGGGACUGAGACACGGCCCAGACUCCUACGGGAGGCAGCAGUGGGGAAUAUUGGACAAUGGGGGGAACCCUGAUCCAGCCAUGCCGCGUGUGUGAAGAAGGCCUUAUGGUUGUAAAGCACUUUAAGCGAGGAGGAGGCUACUGAGACUAAUACUCUUGGAUAGUGGACGUUACUCGCAGAAUAAGCACCGGCUAACUCUGUGCCAGCAGCCGCGGUAAUACAGAGGGUGCGAGCGUUAAUCGGAUUUACUGGGCGUAAAGCGUGCGUAGGCGGCUUUUUAAGUCGGAUGUGAAAUCCCCGAGCUUAACUUGGGAAUUGCAUUCGAUACUGGGAAGCUAGAGUAUGGGAGAGGAUGGUAGAAUUCCAGGUGUAGCGGUGAAAUGCGUAGAGAUCUGGAGGAAUACCGAUGGCGAAGGCAGCCAUCUGGCCUAAUACUGACGCUGAGGUACGAAAGCAUGGGGAGCAAACAGGAUUAGAUACCCUGGUAGUCCAUGCCGUAAACGAUGUCUACUAGCCGUUGGGGCCUUUGAGGCUUUAGUGGCGCAGCUAACGCGAUAAGUAGACCGCCUG
rnacentral:rRNA from 1 species